GAUGAACGCUGGCGGCGUGCCUAAUACAUGCAAGUCGAGCGGACGGACGAGAAGCUCGCUUCUCUGAUGUUAGCGGCGGACGGGUGAGUAACACGUGGAUAACCUACCUAUAAGACUGGGAUAACUUCGGGAAACCGGAGCUAAUACCGGAUAAUAUUUUGAACCGCAUGGUUCAAAAGUGAAAGACGGUCUUGCUGUCACUUAUAGAUGGAUCCGCGCUGCAUUAGCUAGUUGGUAAGGUAACGGCUUACCAAGGCAACGAUGCAUAGCCGACCUGAGAGGGUGAUCGGCCACACUGGAUCUGAGACACGGUCCAGACUCCUAAGGGAGGCAGCAGUAGGGAAUCAUCCGCAAUGGGCGAGAGCCGGACGGAGCAACGCGGCGUGAGUGAUGAAGGUCUUCGGGUCGUAAAACUCUGUUAUUGGGGAAGAACAUAUGUGUAAGUAACUGUGCACAUCUUGACGGUACCUAAUCAGAAAGCAACGGCUAACUACGUG
rnacentral:rRNA from 1 species